UCUCCCAGAAGUAAAACUCAGAUGACUAGGACAAGCUGUGGUGAGAGAAGCCAUUGGCUGCCAUCUAGACUGUGUUGAAAGCACACAGUCACUUGUUAAAGGCAGUAAGUGUUCACGGCUGACCUUCGCUUGGACAGGGAGGCAUUGUAGCAUAAAGGAAGAAUAUUAGACAUUGAAUUCAGAGAAAUAUUGGCUUUACCACUAAAAAACAAUGUGACUCUGGAGACAUACCUAUUUGCGGCCUACUUCCUAUUCUCCAA
rnacentral:lncRNA from 10 species